GUCGUAGGUUCGAAUCCCACCGUGGCGGGGCAUAUUUUUCAAGCUCGCCCGGUGUGGAUAUACACUCAGAGUAACACCACAAAUAUCAUAUUCACCUGAGUACACCACACCAACACAGAAAAAAAUUCAUAUUACUAGAAUACAUUGGUAUCGAAGGAACUAGGUUCUGUUCCGAAAAAUCACUUACUCGAACCGUCCUGACCGCGUAGCUCAGUUGGAAGAGCAUUGGGCUAGUAUUCCAAAGGUCGUAGGUUCGAAUCCCACCGUGGCCGGGCAUAUUUUUCAAGCUCGCCCGGAGUGGAUAUACACUCAGAGUAACACCACAAAUAU